ensembl:lncRNA
GGGGUCUGUCUGAUGGGGGUCUGUCUGAUGGGGGUCUGUCUGAUGAGGAGGUCUGUCUGAUGAGGAGGUCUGUCUGAUGAGGAGGUCUGUCUGAUGAGGAGGUCUGUCUGAUGGGGGGUCAGUCUGUCUGUCUGACGGCCGGUCUGUCUGAUGGGGGGUCAGUCUGUCUGUCUGACGGUCGGUCUGUCUAAUGGGCGUUUUGUUUUCACUGCUGCUUUCCUGAAUGCUCCCUGCUUCAUCCCCUGGUGAGAUGGUGAAGAGGAGGAUGUGAUGUCAUGGCUGUCAUGUCAUCUUCUGAUAAAGGUUCCAGGCAAACUUGAGCUUUGAGAUGAAAAUUAUCACAUGUUAAAAAUGCAUUUUUCUCCCGACUGGAAUGGUAUUUUUUAUAACUAAAACUUUAAAAUAAAAAUCUUCAAUAAUAACUACCCACUGAUUAAGCUCUCAAUUGUUUAUGAACUGGGCAAUCAGUGUGAUUAUUACCAGCUGCUGUCAUUUCAGCCACAACAAAUCUGCGGCCCCUUCUGCUAAAAUGUGUUUUUAUUUCAGUGUUACAUGGCUUCACAUGAGCCCUCCUCCUGGAGCCUUGGUCAGUG